ACGAACGCUGGCGGCAGGCCUAACACAUGCAAGUCGAGCGCUACCUUCGGGUGGAGCGGCGGACGGGUUAGUAACGCGUGGGAAUAUACCCUUUUCUAAGGAAUAGCCACUGGAAACGGUGAGUAAUACCUUAUAAGCCCUUCGGGGGAAAGAUUUAUCGGUAAAGGAUUAGCCCGCGUUAGAUUAGAUAGUUGGUGGGGUAACGGCCUACUAAGUCUACGAUCUAUAGCUGAUUUGAGAGGAUGAUCAGCCACAUUGGGACUGAGACACGGCCCAAACUCCUACGGGAGGCAGCAGUGGGGAAUCUUGC
rnacentral:rRNA from 1 species